UCUACAGUCAGAGCUCGCGAAAUAAGGUGGAACGUAAGGGAGACACCAUUUACAAAACUUGUAAGGGCGUAAUAACUAGUUUGUGAAAGACCCAGAGAAACACAAAUAUACGACGAAACAAAAUCCCGGACGUUUUUGGAAUCUCUGCCGGACGCAUUUUUUAGGUCUCAAAAAGAGGACAUGUCCGGGGAAAAGAGGACGUUUGGUCCCCCUACUUAAACAGUCUGAUAACUCUGUCCUCGCAGCAGCUAACGAUGGCUCACCGCUUGUGUAGCUACAGCAGCUAGCUAGCCAUCUACCUUCUAUUCGUAUUUAUUUCUCUACACAAUAGAAAAGCGAUGCGCUCUCGUGCCUCCUGCAGCUCUUCUGUGUUGCACGUCAAUACUUUGAGACAAACAAGGAGCGUCAAUCUAACGUAAAUGCUUUUCAAUAAAUGUCUUUAGUUCCUGCACAAUGAACAUGAAUCUCAAAUUAAAUGAUUAAUAUUCCCCAAAUUCCAAUUAACUACACUUCCGCUGUUACAGAGGGGAAACACUGUAAUCAUACUGUAAACUUUCAAAAGUUCAUAUAUUGUGCAUAGUUUGAAGUGAAAAAGAACUUUUCUUCAAUUGUGUUUGGUUUCAGGCUCUGUUUAGGAUCGGUAUCGGAAAAACCCAAACGAUACUCAUCCCUACUGUCAUGUGACAUGUCUGCGCGCUGAAGCUAAAGCCAGCCGCUAGUUAGCUUAGCAUGAAGACUGGAGACAAGAGGGCUCGAAGGGAUGUUUAAAAAUCCGGAUUCAACAGUUUACAAAUUUCCGACUUGAUGAAACAAUGGACAAAAAUCGUUCUUUAUUUAUUCUUAAAGUGUUUGCUUUUAAGAUCAAGAUGGGGUCAUAGAAAAAAACAAGUAGAGCAAAGUGUUUUAUGCACCAUGUCAAGUGGAUGAGCUCCAUCAAUACAAAUACACCGUCCACACACACACAUUUACUCUAAAGGCUCAUUUGCAUAUUGUAGAUACCUUCACUGUAACCAUAGAGACGUUACAUCAUGAUGGAACCUUUCUCCAUGUUCCAUGUUCCAUGUUCUAUGAUCCGUUCACCACAGCAUAAGAACACAGUCUGUUGCACAUCCAGUCAGUCAGUUUCAAAGCUCGCAUCUACACACUGAAGUUUUCCGGACCUACACUUGCAGAAAGCAACCAUGUAAUGCCUCAGGAGUCUGUAGAGGGGAAGAAGACGCGUUCUGCUGCACUUAACAGAGCUCAAGACCAACGGGACGCCAUCAGGACGCCACGCCAUCAGGACACCAACGUCAUCGGGACGCUACGUCAUCGGGACACCAUCAGGACGCCACGUCAUCGGGACGCCAUCAGGACACCACGUCAUCGGGACGCCAUCAGGACGCCAUCGGGACGCCGCGUCAACCCCUCAGGAGCAAAUCCAGAUCUACUCAUGACACACACACCCACACACACACACACACACACACGCACACACACAGAUGUACUCACAGACACACUAACAUUUGGUUCUAAACAAAGACACACACUAAUAAUUAGAUGUACACAAAGACAUAUUAAUAUUUAGAUGUACACACAGACACACUAACAAUUAGAUGUACACACAGACACACUAACAUUUGGUUCUAAACAAAGACACACACUAAUAGUUAGAUGUACACAAAGACACAAUAACAAUUAGAUAUACACACAGACACACUAUCAUUUGGUUCUAAACAAAGACACACACUAAUAUUUAGAUGUACACAAAGACACAAUAGCAAUUAGAUGUACACACAGACACACUAUCAUUUGGUUCUAAACUAAGACACACUAAUAUGUAGAUGUGCACAAAGACAUAUUAAUAUUUAGAUGUACACACAGGCACACUAUCAUUUUGUUCUAAACAAAGACACACACUAAUAUUUAGAUGUACACAAAGACACAAUAACAAUUAGAUGUACACACAAACACACUAACAAUUAGAUCUACACACAGACACACUAACAAUUAGAUCUACACACAGACACACUAUCAUUUGGUUCAAAACAAAGACACGCACUAAUAUUUAGAUUUACACAAAGACACAUUAAUAUUUAGAUGUACACACAGACACACAAACAAUUAGAUGUACACACAGACACACACUAACAUUUAGAUGUACACAAAGACACACACUAAUAUUUAGAUGUACACAAAGACAUAUUAAUAUUUAGAUGUACACACAGACACACUAACAUUUAGAUGUACACACAGACACACUAACAAUUAGAUGUACACACAGACACACUAACAACAUUAACAUGUUAAUAACUUUUCUCCUUUUCUCUCUUCUCAGGAACUGCUUCAGAUGUUUUCCCAAUGAUUGUGUUAUUAUUAUUGUUAAAUAUGUCGUCUGUUCAUUAUUUAACAAUGAAAAUAAAUUUUAAUAAAAAUAAAACCAAA
ensembl:lncRNA